GCACCUGCAAAAGGAACAUGAGAGUAAGAGGUUGUACCUUGAACUACUUCAAGCCAAUUAAGUUGAUUUGCUGCAGUUGUUAAAUUAAAACAUAACCACCUGUACUCCGAACUCUAAUGAGCACAGAUCUCAUUGACACCUAGGUGCACAUUCCUGGUGAUUUCUACUUUUGCCACUUCCAAACAAACAGGAUUUUUUCCCCCAAAUUGCUGAUUUCCACGGAGAUGUAAGUGUGGCUGUCCAUGGAUCACCUGCAUAAGAUUUCCUGAAAAGUCUCCUGCUUGGGAAGAAACUCAGAUUUUUGCAGAAGACUAACUCAGAAGCUUCAGGCAUUUGAGAAAAGGAAUUGGUGAACCCAGCUCAUUCCUUUCCCUCAAAGAGCACAAAGACUUACAUGAAAUCCUGACAUUCAUUUCAAUCUGCUCUGAAUAGCAAUAACCAAGCUUCACGUUCCAGAGUUUCACUGCCCCUUUGCAGUGACUCUGAAGAAGCAUUUUCUUUCUUCAUGCAAGAGAUUUUUUCCUUCUAUUGCAUACUCCUCUGAAGUACCAUGAAGAGUUCAAGUAACAUUACAGUACUCUUAUGACAGAACAAAACUCUGAGUGUUUUUAUAUCUUUCCUUUUGCCUUUUAAAGUGUAAAAGAAAAUAUAUUUUCAUUUUCUGGCCAGUAUAUAGAUCAACAUGUUUACUCAGGUAUUUCUCUCCCCGAUGGGGUACCUUUUGUUUUAAGGUGUUAAAAAAAUCAACAGUCAUAAAACACAUUAUAGAUCCUGUAACUGUUUCCUCUUCUUGU